rnacentral:lncRNA from 1 species
CUGGGAUGGGGAGACAGAACAUCCAAUGUAAGGGCUUUCAAAACUUCCCAGAAUGGCCCAGGGAGAUCCUGCUACAGCUAUUGAUUACUUGCAGCAGCUGAAGAUUGUGAACAAAUGACAACAAAUUAGAUUUCCAACAUAAGUUAACCAAAUUAACAUGUUUCCCUUUGUUUUAUGAAAAGGUAUAGAAAUCACCAGAAAUCUUGCUUGUACCUUAUAAAUGUAUCCAUCCAAAGCUAAUUCAUGCCCAUGAGUACAGAAUAAAAUUGUACUUGUUCACACUUCACCAAAUUAUACACCUGUGUAAAUUAAAUGGUGGUCUCUUUUUCACUUCUCAGCAAGAAAGAGAUCCACCAGCAUAUAAAUCUGCUGAAGAUGCAGGCUUUGAAGACUUCAUCUUCUUGACAAAAGUGCUAAAGUAUUUUACUAGAAAGAAUCAUAACAAAGCCUGAAAGCAAAUGCAGGAUUGUCAGACAGAUGGAAGAAUCGUGCAGAAGAAAAGGCAGCCAGCCAUGGCUAAGGCUUCACUAAGCCAGGGAAGUGACACUGAGAAGUGGCAUCUUCUGAGGAGAUCUCCCCAUCAGAAGGGGACUACUCUAGGUUCGUAUAUAAGAGCUCAAAAGGACGAAGUGGGGCUACUCAUUUCUCUCCAGGACAUUCCUAGAAGGAAUAUCCCAACAAAACAAGGGGAAAAAAAGAAAAAGAGAUCAUAUACAUCUAAAGAUGUUCAACGAUCUAAAGAGUGCUAAAGAAAUUAACAGGAAAAAAAAAUAAAAAGGAUGAAACCCACA